rnacentral:rRNA from 1 species
CAUAUCAAUAAGCGGAGGAAAAGAACUAACAAAGGAUUCCCCUAGUAACUGCGAGUGAAGCGGGAAAAGCUCAAAUUUAAAAUCUGUCAGCUUUGGCUGUCCGAGUUGUAAUCUAGAGAAGUGUUAUCCGCGCUGGACCGUGUACAAGUCUCCUGGAAUGGAGCGUCAUAGAGGGUGAGAAUCCCGUCUUUGACACGGACUGCCAGGGCUUUGUGAUGCGCUCUCAAAGAGUCGAGUUGUUUGGGAAUGCAGCUCAAAAUGGGUGGUAAAUUCCAUCUAAAGCUAAAUAUUGGCGAGAGACCGAUAGCGAACAAGUACCGUGAGGGAAAGAUGAAAAGAACUUUGGAAAGAGAGUUAAACAGUACGUGAAAUUGCUGAAAGGGAAACGCUUGAAGUCAGUCGCGUUGUCCAGGGAUCAACCUUGCUUUUGCUUGGUGUACUUUCUGGUUGACGGGUCAGCAUCAAUUUUGACUAUUGGAAAAAGGUCAGGGGAAUGUGGCAUCUUCGGAUGUGUUAUAGCCCUUGGUUGUAUACAAUGGUUGGGAUUGAGGAACUCAGCACGCCGCAAGGCCGGGUUUUUAACCACGUACGUGCUUAGGAUGCUGGCAUAAUGGCUUUAAUCGACCCGUCUUGAAACACGGACCAAGGAGUCUAACAUGCCUGCGAGUGUUUGGGUGGAAAACCCGAGCGCGUAAUGAAAGUGAAAGUUGAGAUCCCUGUCAUGGGGAGCAUCGACGCCCGGACCAGACCUUUUGUGACGGUUCCGCGGUAGAGCAUGUAUGUUGGGACCCGAAAGAUGGUGAACUAUGCCUGAAUAGGGUGAAGCCAGAGGAAACUCUGGUGGAGGCUCGUAGCGAUUCUGACGUGCAAAUCGAUCGUCAAAUUUGGGUAUAGGGGCGAAAGACUAAUUCGA